AGAGCUAUGGACUUGUGACAUAGGAGUGUGUGUCUGAGUGUGGAGGAGAAAAGGGAGGGGGAUGGAGGAGAGAGAGAGAUUAAGAGAGAGAAUAUCAGUGUAAUACAACCCUCCCAUUUAGUACUGGUGUGUUAGCCACACUUUUAAUCUUAGGACUCAGGGGGCUGAGGCAGGAGGACUGCCCAAGUUCAGGGACAGCAGAGCUGGGCACAUCUUAGAAACAGUGGUAGCAGCAGCAAUGAAAUGCCACCCUGUCUUACUGCUUUGGGUUGUCAAGUCAGCUUAGUUUAACAGAAGGUUUUAAAUGGAGACUCUUCUCAAGGCAGCAUAAAGCACUCCAGAAAAGAUCAUAUGGACAUUGAUAUUCCAAACCCACCCAUUUCCACAUCGUCAGCUUUCCUCGGCUUGACAGGGUUCAAGCCCCACAGAGGUGAGCUGCUGUCAAACCUGGAAAGUUAAUGAGUUUCUCUUUAUGAAUAUGUCUGUGGAGGAGGAAGCUUUGUGUAUUUUUGGCUUGUGUUCACUAUGUUAUUUAACAAGGGGGGGGGUUGGUCAAAACAUGCUUUAAUCAAAUUGUAUUAAGUAUCUUUUGAUUUCUGUGAAUCCUUACAUCAUCUUUUCUAUUUCCGUUUACAAAAUAUAUUAUUUUUAAAUCGUGCUUGAGUUUUUUUUGACACAGUAGCAGCAGUAAGAAGGAAGGAACUUUGGAGCUGAGAAGUACCAUGUCCAUUAUAGGCUACUGCGAUGGGUGUUACUCUGCUCCAAAAUUUAAAACUACAUGGGAAGUUCUAUCUCACAGUAACUGGCUUUGGUAUCUAAAAACCAUUGGUACUUCUAGAAAGUAAAAAAGUAUCUACUCAGGUAAAAGUUAAUCAGAUCCCAUGUGUUUGAAAAUGAAAGAAAAGCUUCAUAUAUACAGA
rnacentral:lncRNA from 1 species